rnacentral:rRNA from 1 species
AGUGAACGCUGGCGGCGUGCUUAACACAUGCAAGUCGAACGAGAACGGGUUAUAGCUUGCUAUAAUUGUCAGCUAAGUGGCGCACGGGUGAGUAAUAUAUAGGUAACAUGCCUUCGAGAAGGGGAUAACGUUUGGAAACGAACGCUAAUACCCUAUAUGCCUUUAUCCCAUAAGGGAGCAAGGGAAAUAUUUAUAGCUCGAAGAUUGGCCUGUACGGUAUCAGCUAGUUGGUGAGGUAAUGGCUCACCAAGGCAAUGACACCUAACUGGUUUGAGAGGAUGAUCAGUCACACUGAAACUGAGACACGGUCCAG